rnacentral:rRNA from 1 species
UACGUAGGGGGCAAGCGUUGUCCGGAAUCAUUGGGCGUAAAGAGCGUGUAGGCGGCCCGAUAAGUCCGCUGUGAAAGUCCAGGGCUCAACCCUGGGAUGCCGGUGGAUACUGUCGGGCUCGAGUCCGGAAGAGGAGUGUGGAAUUCCUGGUGUAGCGGUGAAAUGCGCAGAUAUUAGGAGGAACACCAAUGGCGAAGGCAGCACUCUGGGACGUGACUGACGCUGAGACGCGAAAGCGUGGGGAGCAAACAGG